CCUACGGGAGGCAGCAGUGAGGAAUAUUGGUCAAUGGACGAGAGUCUGAACCAGCCAAGCAGCGUGAAGGAUGACUGCCCUAUGGGUUGUAAACUUCUUUUAUAAAGGAAUAAAACGAGGCACGUGUGCCUUUUUGCAUGUACUUUAUGAAUAAGGAUCGGCUAACUCCGUGCCAGCAGCCGCGGUAAUACGGAGGAUCCGAGCGUUAUCCGGAUUGAUUGGGUGUAAAGGGAGCGUAGAUGGGUUGUUAAGUCAGUUGUGAAAGUUUGCGGCUCAACCGUAAAAUUGCAAUUGAUACUGGCAGUCUUGAGUACAGUUGAGGUAGGCGGAAUUCGUGGUGUAGCGGUGAAAUGCUUAGAUAUCACGAAGAACCCCGAUUGCGAAGGCAGCUUACUAAACUGUGACUGACAUUGAGGCUCGAAAGUGUGGGUAUCAAACAGGAUUAGAUACCCGAGUAGUC
rnacentral:rRNA from 1 species